CGCGAAGGCGCGAUGUUUUCGAGUUUUCAUAUUAUUAUGAUAAAUAAAACUUUCCUAGUGAGAUUUAAGAGUGGGUAUAUAUUAUCUAUGCAUUCUACGAGCUUUCUUUCAACAAAUUGUGGUAUAGCUAACGGUAAUACUUAUCGAAGGACGAAGAUCAAACUGAGAGAAACUAGUCGAGUGAUCUGUCUUUAAUUUAAACUGUCUAUUUUGUAUCCAAUGCAGCUGCUUGUGUGCGACGU